rnacentral:rRNA from 1 species
GCAGCACGGACUUCGGUCUGGUGGCGAGUGGCGAACGGGUGAGUAAUAUAUCGGAACGUAUCCAUAAUGGGGGAUAACUAAUCGAAAGGUUGGCUAAUACCGCAUACGCCCUACGGGGGAAAGCUAGGGAUCUUCGGACCUGGCGUUAAUGGAGCGGCCGAUAUCUGAUUAGCUAGUUGGUGAGGUAAGAGCUCACCAAGGCGACGAUCAGUAGCUGGUCUGAGAGGACGACCAGCCACACUGGAACUGAGACACGGUCCAGACUCCUACGGGAGGCAGCAGUGGGGAAUUUUGGACAAUGGGCGCAAGCCUGAUCCAGCCAUUCCGCGUGAGUGAAGAAGGCCUUCGGGUUGUAAAGCUCUUUCGCAAGGGAAGAAAACUUAGUUACUAAUAUUAACUGAGGUUGACGGUACCUUGAUAAGAAGCACCGGCUAACUACGUGCCAGCAGCCGCGGUAAUACGUAGGGUGCGAGCGUUAAUCGGAAUUACUGGGCGUAAAGCGUGCGCAGGCGGUUUUGUAAGUCAGAUGUGAAAUCCCCGAGCUCAACUUGGGAACUGCGUUUGAAACUACAAGACUAGAAUAUGUCAGAGGGGGGUAGAAUUCCACGUGUAGCAGUGAAAUGCGUAGAGAUGUGGAGGAAUACCAAUGGCGAANGCAGCCCCCUGGGAUAAUAUUGACGCUCAUGCACGAAAGCGUGGGGAGCAAACAGGAUUAGAUACCCUGGUAGUCCACGCCCUAAACGAUGUCUACUAGUUGUUGGUGGAGUAAAAUCCAUGAGUAACGCAGCUAACGCGUGAAGUAGACCGCCNGGGGAGUACGGUCGCAAGAUUAAAACUCAAAUGAAUUGACGGGGGCCCGCACAAGCGGUGGAUUAUGUGGAUUAAUUCGAUGCAACGCGAAAAACCUUACCUGGCCUUGACAUGUACCGAANUUUACCAGANAUGGUUUA